UGGUGUUUUAACAUCUUCUAUGAGUCUUCUUGUUGCAUUAGUAUCAAACCAACACAGGGACACUUCUGAUAACAAAUCUAUGGAACAUGAUAAUGUUUUUCAUUCUAUAAGCAAUGCAUAGUCAGGCAUGAAUCCCACAUGUACACCUAAAUCAAUGUUCCAAGAAGAAAGUUCUCCAUUUCCCACUAGUAUUUUCUCCCAUUCCAAUCCUAAAAGUCAGAACUCAGAAGCUCAUCAAUGGUCGGAUGACACCACCUAUACUUGUGAUCGAAACAAAAAUGAUCAAAGCAAUAUUGAUUGUGCUAUGCAUGACUCUCCAUCUACAUCAAUGGUCGGAUGACACCACCUAUACUUGUGAUCGAAACAAAAAUGAUCAAAGCAAUAUUGAUUGUGCUAUGCAUGACUCUCCAUCUAACGGUCAAAAUUGUGGUACUAGAUUUUACCAUGAUGUAGAAAAUCGCAACAUUAGUGGUGUAUCUGAAGGCACAGGCAGCCGGAGUGAUGGAAAUACCCCUCAGUCUGUUGUAGGCAAGAUCCACCUUGAAAGUUCUAUUAAUAAUGAUCACUAUGACGAGCCUAGAGGCGCAAAUUCUUACCACACCAGCCAAAGAGAAGCAGCUCUACUAAAGUUUCGACUAAAGAGAAAAG
rnacentral:lncRNA from 1 species